rnacentral:misc_RNA from 1 species
GAUGAAGAACGCAGCGAAACGCGAUAAGUAAUGUGAAUUGCAGAAUUCAGUGAAUCAUCGAAUCUUUGAACGCACAUUGCGCCCGUCAGUAUUCUGGCGGGCAUGCCUGUUCGAGCGUCAUUACGCCCCUCAAGUCCCCUGUGGACUUGGUGUUGGGGAUCGGCGAGGCUGGUUUUCCAGCACAGCCGUCCCUUAAAUUAAUUGGCGGUCUCGCCGUGGCCCUCCUCUGCGCAGUAGUAAAACACUCGCAACAGGAGCCCGGCGCGGUCCACUGCCGUAAAACCCCCCAACUUUUUAUAGUUGACCUCGAAUCAGGUAGGACUACCCGCUGAACUUAAGCAUAUCAAUAAGCGGAGGA